rnacentral:rRNA from 1 species
ACAUUAAUCCGCUGGAACUUAAGCAUAUCAAUAAGCGGAGGAAAAGAAASCMACAGGGAUUGCCCUAGUAACGGCGAGUGAAGCGGCAACAGCUCAAAUUUGAAAUCUGGCCCUAGGCCCGAGUUGUAAUUUGCAGAGGAUGCUUCGGGCGCGGUGCCUUCCAAGUCCCCUGGAACGGGGCGCCGGAGAGGGUGAGAGCCCCGUACGGUUGGCGGCCAAGCCUGUGUGAAGCUCCUUCGACGAGUCGAGUAGUUUGGGAAUGCUGCUCUAAGCGGGAGGUAGACCCCUUCUAAAGCUAAAUAUAGGCCAGAGACCGAUAGCGCACAAGUAGAGUGAUCGAAAGAUGAAAAGCACUUUGAAAAGAGGGUUAAAUAGCACGUGAAAUUGUUGAAAGGGAAGCGCUUGUGACCAGACGUGCGCCGGGGUGUUCAGCGGGCGUUCUCGCCCGUGCACUCGCCUCGGCGCAGGCCAGCGUCGGUUCGAGUGGGAGGAUAAAGGCGUCUGGAAUGUGGCUCCUUCGGGAGUGUUAUAGCCAGACGUGCCAUGCUCCCGCCCGGACCGAGGUACGCGUUCUGCAAGGACGCUGGCGUAAUGGUCUCCAGCGACCCGUCUUGAAACACGGACCAAGGAGUCGAGGUUUUGCGCGAGUGUUUGGGUGUUAAACCCGCACGCGUAAUGAAWGUGAACGUAGGUGGGAGCUUCGGCGCACCACCGACCGAUCCUGAUGUUUUCGGAUGGAUUUGAGUAAGAGCGUAGGGCCUCGGACCCGAAAGAUGGUGAACUAUGCUUGGAUAGGGUGAAGCCAGAGGAAACUCUGGUGGAGGCUCGCAGCGGUUCUGACGUGCAAAUCGAUCGUCAAAUCUGAGCAU